rnacentral:pre_miRNA from 1 species
CAUGUACUCCCUCCGUUCGGAAUUACUUGUCUCGGAAAUGGAUGUAUUUAGAAUUAAAAUACAUCUAGAUACAUCCAUUUCUGCGACAAGUAAUUCCGAACGGAGGGAGUAUCUA